rnacentral:rRNA from 1 species
AGGAGGUACGACGGCAGUGAUUAGAGUUUGAUCAUGGCUCAGGAUGAACGCUAGCUACAGGCUUAACACAUGCAAGUCGAGGGGUAACGGCAGUGAAGCUUGCUUUACUGGCCGACGACCGGCGCACGGGUGAGUAACGCGUAUCCAACCUGCCCAUGACUCAGGGAUAACCUUCCGAAAGGGAGCCUAAUACCUGAUGUUGUGAGACGAGGGCAUCUGAGUGUCACCAAAGAUUCAUCGGUCAUGGAUGGGGAUGCGUAGGAUUAGGUAGACGGCGGGGUAACGGCCCACCGUGCCGACGAUCCUUAGGGGUUCUGAGAGGAAGGUCCCCCACACUGGUACUGAGACACGGACCAGACUCCUACGGGAGGCAGCAGUGAGGAAUACUGGUCAAUGGGCGUGAGCCUGAACCAGCCAAGUAGCGUGCAGGAUGACGGCCCUAUGGGUUGUAAACUGCUUUUGUCGGGGAACAAAGUGUGGCUCGUGAGCCGUUUUGCGUGUACCCGAUGAAUAAGGACCGGCUAAUUCCGUGCCAGCAGCCGCGGUAAUACGGAAGGUCCGGGCGUUAUCCGGAUUUAUUGGGUUUAAAGGGAGCGUAGGCGGGUUUAUAAGCGUGUCGUGAAAUUAUGUGGCUCAACCAUGUCGUGCGGCGCGAACUGUAGACCUUGAGUGCGCUGAAAGCGGGCGGAAUUCGUGGUGUAGCGGUGAAAUGCUUAGAUAUCACGAAGAACUCCGAUUGCGAAGGCAGCUCGCUGUAGCGUUACUGACGCUGAAGCUCGAAGGCGCGGGUAUCGAACAGGAUUAGAUACCCUGGUAGUCCGCGCGGUAAACGAUGGAUGCCCGCUGUUGGCUAGUAUUUGUCAGCGGCCAAGCGAAAGCAUUAAGCAUCCCACCUGGGGAGUACGCCCGGCACGGUGAAACUCAAAGGAAUUGACGGGGCCCGCACAGCGGAGGACAUGUGGUUUAUUCGAUGAUACGCGAGGACUUACCCGGGCUGAACUGCAGCGGACGAUCCAGAGAUGGUGAGGCUCUUCGGCUGCUGCGAGUGCUGCAUGUGUCGUCAGCUCGUGCGUGAGGUGUCGCCUAUGCAUAACGAGCGCACCCUGUUCCAGUGCCAUCACUCGGUGGAACUCUUUGGAUAUCUGCCACCGUAAGGUCAGAAAGUGGAUAACAAAUCCACGCCUUAAUCCGGCUCAUACACAGGUUCUAG